rnacentral:lncRNA from 1 species
AGGUAGAUAAAAUAGAGGUAGAUAAAAAAUCGAAAGAGUAUAAUGAUACAACAGUUAGAACUAAUAAUGAAUAUAAUAAUAAACGAGUCAGACAACCUGAUAGUAUUGAAAAGGUUGAUAUAACAGAAAAGGAAAAAAAUGAACAAGAAUAUGACAAAAACAAUGAAGGACUAAUAGAAUUGAUUAAUAUAUGGAAAAAAUAUUUUGACAAUGAUACAAAUAAUUAUUUUAUUAUUAUUUUAAAAACAAUGAAUAAACAUGAUGUAUUAAAUUUUAAUCUUAUGAUAUCAUAUUUAAAAAAAAAAAAGAAAUAAUAUGUUAGAAGAAUUUAUUGAAUAUCUUAACAAUUUUAUUUAUAAUUUAAGAUUUUUUUCUUUUCGUAUAUGGAAUACAUUUAUAUUUGAUUUUUUAAUAGAUCUAUCAAAAGAGUAUAAAACGCAAAUAAAUUUCGAAAAUGUUUUAUUUUUAUUAAAUAGGUGUUACAAAAUUUAUUUAAUGAAUGCUAGUGAUGCUACUACUACUACUACUACUACUACUACUACUGCUACUACUACUACUACUACUACUACUACUACUACUACUGCUACUGCUACUGCUACUGCUACUGCUACUGCUACUACUGCUACUACUGCUACUACUGCUACUACUGCUACUACCGCUAUACCCGAACCGAAUCAAAUACAAAAACAACUGCUCCUACUCGACAGCAAAAUAAAAGAAGACAUUUAUAUUGACAGUAUAUUAACAAAAGAAGAUUUAAUAUAUGAAAAAAGAACAUGUCCCAAUGGAGUAUUAAAAAGUAUUAUGUUAAAAUUAUAUAAUAUAAUAUAUAACUUAUUAGAUACUAUAGACGAAUUAGAUGAAUGUUUUGUACAAAAAAUGGAAUAUAUAAUUUAUAAUUUUAACAGUCCUUUAUGUUUUAUAUAUAUAAUAAUAAAUAUUUUAUUAAAAAAAAAAAAAAACAUAAAUGAAUUUAUUGAUACUUUAAAAAAUAGAAUAUGUUUUUUUUUCGAAAAUGUGGAAACUAUUGUAAAAAAUAAUAACUUUUUUUUUUGUAAUAUUUUGAUUACUUUUAUAUUUCUAAUUAACCAUUUUCAAAAAACAGAUACUUCGUUUAUAAAUAUUGCGGGUCAGAAAUUGAAAAUAAUUUAUGACGAUUUAUGUCGAAAUGAGCAACACAUUGUUAAUACUGACCCAGACACAAGUACAGACACAAACGUAAACACAAGUACCGACACAAACGUAAACACAAGUACCAACACCAAUAGUAACUGUAUGAUUAUGAUAAAAAAUUGUAUCUAUCUGACCCAGUGUGUUUUUUUAAUAGACAAAGGUAUAUGUAACAGAACUGAACUAUUUUUUAAUAUUGAAAAAGAUUUAAAAAAUAACAAAAUAUCAAUGAAUAU